GACGAACGCUGGCGGCGUGCUUAACACAUGCAAGUCGAACGGAAAGGCCCUGCUUUUGUGGGGUGCUCGAGUGGCGAACGGGUGAGUAACACGUGAGUAACCUGCCCUUGACUGUGGGAUAACUUCAGGAAACUGGGGCUAAUACCGGAUAGGAGCUCCUGCUGCAUGGUGGGGGUUGGAAAGUUUCGGCGGUUGGGUAUUGACUCGCGGCUUAUCAGCUUGUUGGUGGGGGAGUGGCUUACCAAGGCUUUGACGGGUAGCCGGCCUGAGAGGGUGACCGGCCACAUUGGGACUGGGGUACGGCCCAGACUCCUACGGGAGGCAGCAGUGGGGAAUAUUGCACAAUGGGCGGAAGCCUGAUGCAGCAACGCCGCGUGCGGGAUGACGGCCUUCGGGUUGUAAUCCGCUUUCGCCUGUGACGAAGCGUGAGUGACGGUAAUGGGUAAAGAAGCACCGGCUAACUACGUG
rnacentral:rRNA from 1 species